GACGAACGCUGGCGGCGUGCUUAACACAUGCAAGUCGAACGGAAAGGCCCUGCUUUUGUGGGGUGCUCGAGUGGCGAACGGGUGAGUAACACGUGAGUAACCUGCCCUUGACUUUGGGAUAACUUCAGGAAACUGGGGCUAAUACCGGAUAGGAGCUCCUGCUGCAUGGUGGGGGUUGGAAAGUUUCGGCGGUUGGGGAUGGACUCGCGGCUUAUCAGCUUGUUGGUGGGGUAGUGGCUUACCAAGGCUUUGACGGGUAGCCGGCCUGAGAGGGUGACCGGCCACAUUGGGACUGAGAUUCGGCCCAGACUCCUACGGGAGGCAGCAGUGGGGAAUAGUGCACAAUGGGCGGAAGCCUGAUGCAGCAACGCCGCGUGCGGGAUGACGGCCUUCGGGUUGUAAACCGCUUUCGCCUGUGACGAAGCGUGAGUGACGGUAAUGGGUAAAGAAGCACCGGCUAACUACGUG
rnacentral:rRNA from 1 species